CAAAAACAUGACUCUGAUCGGCGUCCUCAUCUGGACUCUCCUCUGCUGCUGCUUCACAGAGUCCAGAGGCCAGAUCACAGUGACUCAGCCUGGAGCAGUGAGGUCUGCUCUGGGAGAGUCCGUCACCAUCAACUGUAAGACCAGUCAAAGGGUUUAUGGUGGGAACUAUUUACACUGGUACCAACAGAAAGAUGGAGAAGCUCCUAAACUUCUAGUUCGCUAUGCCAAUCAGAGGAUGUCAGGGAUUCCAGACCGUUUUACAGGCAGUGGAUCAAACACUGACUUCACUCUGACCAUCAGUGGAGUCCAGACUGAAGAUGCAGCAGUUUACUACUGUCAGAGUGUUCAUGUUAUCAACAGUCAGGAUGUGUUCACACAGUGAAAAAGAGUCGUACAAAAACCUCCCUCAGUCAGACUGAACAGAAACUGAACUGACUGCUGCAGCUGGAAGCUACAACAGAGACUGAUACACUUCACUGAGGACACACACACACACACACACACACACACACACUUCACCUUCUCUUUCUGUGAUAAUACAUUGACUUUAGGAGCAGUCGUUAAGAUUUAUGUGGGUCAACUGACAGAAAUAGAAUUUAAUAUUAGGAAUUCUCUUUAAAUUUGUGUACAAUCACCUGAAAACCAGAUUUGUUGUUUGGUACCUUAUAAUGAGCUCUUCAUGUCUCCAGAGGGAGCGGGUCCUCUUCCAUGAAAACCACUAUGUUGCACAGCCACAUUUCUACAGUGGCCCAGAACGGACAAAACAGACACUGGCUCUAGA